rnacentral:rRNA from 1 species
CCUACGGGAGGCAGCAGUGGGGAAUAUUGGACAAUGGGGGGAACCCUGAUCCAGCCAUGCCGCGUGUGUGAAGAAGGCCCUCGGGUUGUAAAGCACUUUCAGUGAGGAAGAACGCCUGGUGGUUAAUACCCAUCAGGAAAGACAUCACUCACAGAAGAAGCACCGGCUAACUCCGUGCCAGCAGCCGCGGUAAUACGGAGGGUGCGAGCGUUAAUCGGAAUUACUGGGCGUAAAGCGCGCGUAGGUGGCUUGAUAAGCCGGUUGUGAAAGCCCCGGGCUCAACCUGGGAACGGCAUCCGGAACUGUCAAGCUAGAGUGUAGGAGAGGAAGGUAGAAUUCCCGGUGUAGCGGUGAAAUGCGUAGAGAUCGGGAGGAAUACCAGUGGCGAAGGCGGCCUUCUGGACUGACACUGACACUGAGGUGCGAAAGCGUGGGUAGCAAACAGGAUUAGAUACCCCGGUAGUC